AUGAAGCCCUCGCCCGGGCGGAACGCGCCUCGCUGGAAGCAUCCCCCUCCAGCCUGCGGCGGCACGGCGGCCCCCGCGCUACCUCUCGGCUCCCGCACUCCCCGGCCACCGCGGCCAUCCCCUCCCCUCCCUCGAGCCAGGCAGUCCCCAGAGGCACAUUCCUGGCGACUCCAGCUCCGUUACCCGGCCGACCCGGCGUACGGCCGCCCGGGGGAGCAGGGGAGGAAAGGGAGCGGCCGAGGGAGGCGCGGCCACCCGCUCCCGGUCUCUGCGCCCCGACACAAAGCGCCCGGCCCGCCCCGCGCCACCUGUUCCCACCCGGCCCGCGGGGCAGGGGUAGCCUCUUGGCUGCGACCCCACUUCUCCCCGCAGUCCCGCCGCCCCCGUCUCGGCCUUCCUGGUUGCCCUGGGCGCUGCCCGGGCAAACCGCACCGCGCCGCCGCCGCGAAAGCAAAAGCAGGCGGCGGGGCCCAGGAGGAGCCGGGGAGCGCGCGCGGCCACUCACCCGGGCUCCCGGGAGCUGCCCGGGUUCCUCCGGAGCUGUCGGAGGCCGACCGUGGGCGGCAGCGCCGGAGACGGAGCGGGGCGGCGGCAGGAGUGCGGGGAGGGGGCGAAUGGGGGGCGCGGAUCCCACGCGUCCGCCCUGGCGUCGGCUCGGUCGGGCGCUCCCCCUCCGGCUCCGGAGCAGCCCCUCGGCUCCUCGCCGCCUCCCUGACGGAGGGCGGCCGGCAGGCGGCCAAUGGGGACCCCGCGGGCGGGCUGGCGGCACGGCCCACCCACCUCCGAGCUGCCCAGCCGGGCGGGCGCUGCGGGUUCUGCGCAGCGCUGACUGCUCCUCCCCGCUCCGCGCUCCGGGCUCGCUGGCGCGCUCUACCGCGCACACCCCCGCACACACCCACUCACCCACCCCCACCCUGGAGCCGAGGGAGCGCAGCCGCGCGCGUCGUGGGCGCCCCACCUGUGCACGCCGCUCGGCUGCCCCGUUCGGCCGCGUUCCAGAGAAAUGCGAUUCCUUCGUCCGGCAAAUGUGUACCGAGCUCCCGGCGUGUGCCAGGCACGAUGCUCGGCACCGGGAACUCAGAGACCAAAAUGGAUUUUUAA
rnacentral:lncRNA from 1 species